UUUGAGGUCUAAAGAUAGUUUAGCAUUUAUAAAAAUAUUAUGGUUGUAAGGGUGUUUAUUUAGGCAUACCAGGAUUUAAAAUAUUGCUAUUCAAAAAGUUUCUAAUCCAAAAGAACGAAAAACCCACUAUCGUAGCAUAGGGACAGCUAGACACCAUGAAUGGUCUGGAGUUACAAUAGAUCUUAUGUGACUAACUACAUUUUCUAAACCAAAAAUGAGGCACAUACUCUAAAUGAGGGAGUUUUUGGACUUUCAUUUCAUCUGUAUAAAAAGUCUUUAAAAACACAAGUGGAAAAAUUAUUGUACCUGUAUAUAAUACAUAAAUGUACCUUUUUAAUGUACAAAAAUAGAAACAAAACAAAAAAACCUCUCCUGGAAACUGAGGGUCAAUUUAUAACCAGCAGCUGAGUGCUAUACCUUACAGCAAGCAACAUGGCAGCCUGAGACAUUUUCUAGCCAUUAACAACUAAAGUGAGUGAAAGGAAGACCUGUAGAGACACAAGGGUCAACCUUGUCAAAACAAAGUUUCUACAUUUUUUAAUGUGCCAAGACAAAAAGGGAUCUGCAAGCCACAUUCACUCAUACUCCAAAAUAGGCUUCAUUUUUGUAUUCUUAUAAAACUUUCCCAAAGGAGGUAUCAAACUUUUUAUGCAGCAACCAAGUAUGUAUACCUUCAUAUUCAUACAUUACAAACUAGUAAAUAUUUACCUAAUGUUUUAUACUGUUUUAAAUAACCACAUCUUUGAACUCCCUUAAUGUAUGAGUAUUUCUAUCUAAUCCUAUUCUGUAGAGAAUUCUAAACUAAAGGAAGUUUAAUAGCUCCUUUUCAUAAAGUGAAAAGAGAGCACAGGAUUUUAGAUUGUUUUUUCCUGACCAGAAAUUAAAAGGGACACUUCAUGAAAAAUGACAAGUGACCCCAAACAGAUUAUGUUCCAAAAGUUUACUUGGAAGCUGAAACAUGUUUUUCCCAUAGGAAAUUAUCAGAUGCCAAACUAGUGUAUAAACAUCUAAUUAAUCAAUAAUAAAAAAUGGAUAAAAAUAGCAGAAAAUUCACUACAAUUCUCAAACAAAAUAUAACAAAAGAAAUACUAAUAUGAAUAUUAAAUACUGGUACUUCAGGAAAUAAUUUUUAAUCUAAUUUCUCUAAUUAAACUUAUGUCUAAAGCUGGGCG
rnacentral:lncRNA from 10 species